rnacentral:lncRNA from 1 species
AGAGCAGAAGAGAGAAGCACUUGGGGGUGAACAAAAAGAACGCCUGGAUUUCUAAGUGAGUGGGGAUGCCGUGGCCAACUGCAGACCCAGUCACAGGUAGACAUGCAUCAGCAACAGUGAGAGCUUCCUGGCUCUUAGAACAGACACCAGGGGUCAGAAGAAGGUGGUUCACACCGAGUCCACACAGGAAAACCACUGGCUGGUACUUCUGAAAUGUUCCUGGGAUGCCUGCCUAGAUCCCUAAUGCCAUCUACCAAAGCGGGAGUAACCACUAUCUUUUCCCUCAUACAAGACUGAUGGAAACAAGGAGGGCCACCCCAAUAGCCACGGCUUCAUGCCGGCUCCCUAGUAAGGACUUUCUGCCACUGCAGGUUGAAAAUCCAGGUUUAAACCUGUUAAGUAUAUGAUGCUCAGUGCACUGCCUCUGUGAUGAAUGAGUGUGUGCUAUGAUGUUAAAUUUAUACAAGUCCAAGUAUCCAGCUCAGCCCAGGGGUGCUCACUACUUCAAAAGUUCAAGGUCUGUGUUAGUACCAGGGAAGAAUAAAUGCACUUCACUUCAGAAGUUCAAGGUCUGUGUUCACCAAAGGCUCUGCACAGCUUCAUUGUCUUUCUUCAUGCAAACAACAUAAAGGCUUUCCUGAAGCUUGAAAAGAUUUCAAAGAAACCGUAGUGAAACCUGGUCGCAUCUAUUUGCUUGCCCUAGUCAAGUCUAAGUGAACAAGCGGCUGAGAGAUUGAAGACUUUGGUUUACUUAGGUAUUGCCAAUUUAGAAAGCAAACAUUCCUGCAAGCAAGUGUUUAACUGACAACUAAACC